rnacentral:lncRNA from 1 species
AAGGUUGAUCCGAACCUGAAAUCGGAGUGUUUUGGGUUAGCUUGUACCCGGGAAACAAGUAGACUAGCUUGGGAUAGCUAGUGUCGGAGUUUCCGACGUUUUGUAUUCGAGUUGAAUACAAGUAUAGUGGAUUGAAAUUCCCAAGUAGGAGCUUGGAGAGUGGAUGUAGGUGCAAGGUUGGCACCGAACCACUAUAAAUCCUUGUGUUUGUGGUGUGCU